rnacentral:rRNA from 1 species
UACGAAGGGGGCUAGCGUUGCUCGGAAUCACUGGGCGUAAAGCGCACGUAGGCGGAUUGCUAAGUCAGGGGUGAAAUCCUGGAGCUCAACUCCAGAACUGCCUUUGAUACUGCCGUGCUUGAGGACUGGAGAGGAGACUGGAAUUUACGGUGUAGCGGUGAGAUGCGUAGAUAUCGUAAGGAAGACCAGUGGCGAAGGCGGGUCUCUGGACAGUUCCUGACGCUGAGGCACGAAGGUCAGGGGAGCAAACGGG